rnacentral:rRNA from 1 species
UACGAGGGGGGCGAGCGUUGUUCGGAAUUAUUGGGCGUAAAGGGCGCGUAGGCGGUCCGGUAAGUCCGCUGUGAAAGUCGGGGGCUCAACCCUCGGAUGCCGGUGGAUACUGUCGGGCUAGAGUGCGGAAGAGGCGAGUGGAAUUCCUGGUGUAGCGGUGAAAUGCGCAGAUAUCGGGAGGAACACCAGUAGCGAAGGCGGCUCGCUGGGCCAUUCCUGACGCUGAGACGCGAAAGCUAGGGGAGCGAACAGG